GAUGAACGCUAGCGAUAGGCCUAACACAUGCAAGUCGAGGGGCAGCACAUGAGUAGCAAUACGAUGGUGGCGACCGGCGCACGGGUGAGUAACACGUAUGCAACCUACCUCUAACAGGGGGAUAACCCGUUGAAAGACGGACUAAUACCCCAUAAUACAGGGGCUCCGCAUGGAGAUAUUUGUUAAAGAUUUUAUCGGUUAGAGAUGGGCAUGCGUUCCAUUAGCUAGUUGGUGAGGUAACGGCUCACCAAGGCGACGAUGGAUAGGGGAACUGAGAGGUUUAUCCCCCACACUGGGACUGAGACACGGUCCAGACUCCUACGGGAGGCAGCAGUGAGGAAUAUUGGUCAAUGGAGGCAACUCUGAACCAGCCAAGUCGCGUGAAGGAUGAAGGUCUUAUGGAUUGUAAACUUCUUUUGCAGGGGAAUAAAUAGCGGUACGUGUACCGUUUUGCAUGUACCCUGCGAAUAAGGAUCGGCUAACUCCGUGCCAGCAGCCG
rnacentral:rRNA from 1 species